rnacentral:rRNA from 1 species
UACAUGGGUAACCUACCCUUGAGAAGGGAAUAACCCGCCGAAAGGUGAGCUAAUACCCUUAUACGCUAUCUUUUUUCGAAAAGGAUAGGAAAGCCGGGUCGAGGACCUGGUACUCAAGGAGGGGCUCAUGUCCUAUCAGCUUGUUGGUGGGGUAACGGCCUACCAAGGCUACGACGGGUAGCUGGUCUGAGAGGAUGAUCAGCCACACUGGCACUGAGAUACGGGCCAGACUCCUACGGGAGGCAGCAGUGAGGAAUAUUGCGCAAGUGGGCGAAAGCCUGACGCAGCGACGCCGCGUGGGGAUGAAGGUUUUCGGAUUGUAAACCCCUUUCAUGAGGAAAGAUAAAGUGGGUAACCACUUAGACGGUACCUCAAGAAGAAGCCACGGCUAACUUCGUG